rnacentral:rRNA from 1 species
CGGAGUUAGCCGGGGUUUCUUUACCUGCUACAGUCAUUAUCUUCACAGGCGAAAGAGCUUUACGACCCUAAGGCCUUCAUCACUCACGCGGCAUGGCUGGAUCAGGCUUGCGCCCAUUGUCCAAGAUUCCCCA